UUUAAAGCCAUAAACAUGUAAUAAAUAAUUUGUACAAAAUUGCAUCUGAUGUUUGAAUUAUCUUCGUGGUUGUAAACAUCUCAUGGAUACACGUUUUCUAGCUUUACAAUAAUCGUAAUAUAAUUAAAAAGCAAAAAAAAAAUAAAAUAAAAAAAAUAUAGUCUUACUCUUUACAAACAGAAAAAGACAUUACCCAUCCAGCCAAUGACUUCUGGAAUCUCAUUAAAAGCUAUGUCAAACAAAAAUAUUGAAAAUUAAAUGCCAAAUAAAAAAUCAUCAAACAAAAAAAAAAUAAACUAUUGCCGUUGCUGUUCUAUUGACACUUUCUGAAGUAUCUCGAUACAGUGUACAGUGAAAAAUCUUUGAUACCAGUUGUGGAACAGUCGAUAAUGUAAAGGACAAGUCAGCGUCUUGUCGUUGUUUUUAUACAUCAGCAUACAAUUUACUUAUUACAUUUUUUUAAAAUUAGUACUAUAAAUGUAAUUAGGAUUUAGUUAUUUUCAUAUAUUUUUCUUAAGUAAUUUACUAUCUACACCAUUGACGUCAAUAUCAUUGUGUGAAUAUCAUAGUAUUCUAUCACACUUUUACUUUAUAUCAUUAUUACUUCGUGUAAAACUGUAUGUGCAAGGUGUGUCUAUCAGGGAUUGUUGUACUUAUAACUCAGAAGUCCUGACAUUGAGUACACUGAUAGAUCUAUGCCUCCGCCUCUAAACAAUAACCUUCUUCUUGACCAUGACCUUUUAUCUGCAUGUAGAGUCUAAAAACGAAUGUAUUUAAAUCUUAUUUAAAGCUGUUUUAUAUCCUGUUUCACAGUCUAUAACACAUUUUAUGGUAUCAUGGUGAAGUGACUAGCACAUCGAUGCUGCACAAUGUCCAACAUUAUGUGCAAUAAAAUUAUAUUCACAAUAUGAACAUUGUUAUAUAUAUAUAUAUAUAUAUAUAUA